AAUAGAUACCCUGGUAGUCCACGCCGUAAACGAUGAGUGCUAAGUGUUAGAGGGUUUCCGCCCUUUAGUGCUGCAGCUAACGCAUUAAGCACUCCGCCUGGGGAGUACGGCCGCAAGGCUGAAACUCAAAGGAAUUGACGGGGGCCCGCACAAGCGGUGGAGCAUGUGGUUUAAUUCGAAGCAACGCGAAGAACCUUACCAGGUCUUGACAUCCUCUGCCAACCCUAGAGAUAGGGCGUUCCCCUUCGGGGGACAGAGUGACAGGUGGUGCAUGGUUGUCGUCAGCUCGUGUCGUGAGAUGUUGGGUUAAGUCCCGCAACGAGCGCAACCCUUGAUCUUAGUUGCCAGCAUUCAGUUGGGCACUCUAAGGUGACUGCCGGUGACAAACCGGAGGAAGGUGGGGAUGACGUCAAAUCAUCAUGCCCCUUAUGACCUGGGCUACACACGUGCUACAAUGGAUGGUACAAAGAGCUGCGAACCCGCGAGGGUAAGCCAAUCUCAUAAAGCCAUUCUCAGUUCGGAUUGUAGG
rnacentral:rRNA from 1 species